rnacentral:lncRNA from 10 species
UUUUGAUUAUGAAAAUAUUUUUAUAAAUUGGUUUUAAAGGAAUAUUGUGUGAGUCGCAUUUAUUGGUAAACUUUGAGAAGCACUGGGUUUUAAGCUGGAAAACUUUGAAAUUUGGAAAAUUAAAAAAAUUUAAUUACUGUUGGAAAGCAGUGCAACUUGGAUGACUUCAUUUUCUUAUAACUUUUUUACUUGGCAUGCUUAAAUUUUUUUUUUUUUUCCAGUUAGGGCAAAAAACCCCUAGUAGGUAAACAGCUACAGAGAAAUUCAGAGUGAUUUCUGUUUCCAGUAUUUUGCUAUGUUACUGUGGAAUUCUGAUUCAAGUGUUGUAGCUACUGUAGGAUGUGUAUGUGUGCAUGUGUGUGUGUGCACAUGCUUGUUCACUGAAAAGGUCACAAUGAAUUAGCUUCCAAGAUGUUCCCACCCUAUGCAACAUUGUCUGAUUAGGCAUCUGACAACUAGGGAAGCAGGUGAAAUGUAACUGGCAAAAGCAGAUUUUAUGUUCCUAGGAGAAAGCUUGUUUGGUUAAAGCCAUCACGCCUGUAACA